rnacentral:rRNA from 1 species
GAUGAACGCUGGCGGCGUGCCUAAUACAUGCAAGUCGAGCGAACAGAUGAGGAGCUUGCUCCUCUGACGUUAGCGGCGGACGGGUGAGUAACACGUGGAUAACCUACCUAUAAGACUGGGAUAACUUCGGGAAACCGGAGCUAAUACCGGAUAAUAUAUUGAACCGCAUGGUUCAAUAGUGAAAGACGGUUUUGCUGUCACUUAUAGAUGGAUCCGCGCCGCAUUAGCUAGUUGGUAAGGUAACGGCUUACCAAGGCAACGAUGCGUAGCCGACCUGAGAGGGUGGUCGGCCACACUGGAACUGAGACACGGUCCAGACUCCUACGGGAGGCAGCAGUAGGGAAUCUUCAGCAAUGGGCGAAAGCCUGACGGAGCAACGCCGCGUGAGUGAUGAAGGUCUUCGGAUCGUAAAACUCUGUUAUUAGGGAAGAACAAAUGUGUAAGUAACUAUGCACGUCUUGACGGUACCUAAUCAGAAAGCCACGGCUAACUACGUG